CCUACGGGAGGCUGCAGUGAGGAAUAUUGGUCAAUGGGUGGGAGCCUGAACCAGCCAAGCCGCGUGAGGGAAGAAGGUACAGCGUAUCGUAAACCUCUUUUGUCAGGGAACAAAGGCGGGGACUAGUCCCCGGAUGAGGGUACCUGAAGAAAAAGCAUCGGCUAACUCCGUGACCGCAGCCGCGGUCAUACGGAGGAUGCGAGCGUUAUCUGGAUUUAUUGGGGUUAAGGGGUGCGCGGGGGGCCUGUUAAGUCAGCGGUAACAGCUAGGGUGUCAACCCAGGCGGGCCGUUGAAACUGGCGGGCUGGAGUUGGAGAGAAGUACGCGGAAUUCGCGGUGUAGCGGGGAAAUGCUUAGAUAUCGCGCAGAACCCCGAUUGCGAAGGCAGCGUACCGGCUCCACACUGACGCUGAGGCACGAAAGCGUGGGGAGCAAACAGGAUGAGAUACCCCAGUAGUC
rnacentral:rRNA from 1 species